rnacentral:hammerhead_ribozyme from 1 species
AUACAGCUGAUGAGUCCGAAAUAGGACGAAACGCGCGUCUUGGGU